GCACAAUGGGCGAAAGCCUGAUGCAGCGACGCCGCGUGAGGGAUGACGGCCUUCGGGUUGUAAACCUCUUUCAGCAGGGACGAAGCGCAAGUGACGGUACCUGCAGAAGAAGCACCGGCUAACUACGUGCCAGCAGCCGCGGUAAUACGUAGGGUGCAAGCGUUGUCCGGAAUUACUGGGCGUAAAGAGUUCGUAGGCGGUUUGUCGCGUCGUUUGUGAAAACCAGCAGCUCAACUGCUGGCUUGCAGGCGAUACGGGCAGACUUGAGU
rnacentral:rRNA from 1 species